rnacentral:rRNA from 5 species
AAACUUUCAACAACGGAUCUCUUGGUUCUGGCAUCGAUGAAGAACGCAGCGAAAUGCGAUAAGUAGUGUGAAUUGCAGAAUUCAGUGAAUCAUCGAAUCUUUGAACGCACAUUGCGCCCCUCGGUAUCCCGGGGGGCAUGCCUGUUCGAGCGUCAUUU